rnacentral:rRNA from 1 species
GACGAACGCUGGCGGCGUGCUUAACACAUGCAAGUCGAUCGGUAACAGGUGUAGCAAUACAUGCUGACGAGAGGCGGACGGGUGAGUAAUGCUUGGGAAUCUGCCUAUUAGUGGGGGACAACCCGGGGAAACUCGAGCUAAUACCGCAUACGCUCUACGGAGGAAAGCCGGGGACCGCAAGGCCUGGCGCUAAUAGAUGAGCCCAAGUCGGAUUAGCUAGUUGGUAGGGAACGGCCUACCAAGGCGACAAUCCGUAGCUGGUCUGAGAGGACGACCAGCCACACCGGAACUGAGACACGGUCCGGACUCCUACGGGAGGCAGCAGUGGGGAAUAUUGGACAAUGGGGGCAACCCUGAUCCAGCGACGCCGCGUGGGUGAAGAAGGCCUGCGGGUUGUAAAGCCC